AGUGAACGCUGGCGGUAGGCCUAACACAUGCAAGUCGAACGGCAGCACAGUAAGAGCUUGCUCUUACGGGUGGCGAGUGGCGGACGGGUGAGGAGUACAUCGGAAUCUACUUUUUCGUGGGGGAUAACGUAGGGAAACUUACGCUAAUACCGCAUACGACCUACGGGUGAAAGCAGGGGAUCUUCGGACCUUGCGCGAUUGAAUGAGCCGAUGUCGGAUUAGCUAGUUGGCGGGGUAAAGGCCCACCAAGGCGACGAUCCGUAGCUGGUCUGAGAGGAUGAUCAGCCACACUGGAACUGAGACACGGUCCAGACUCCUACGGGAGGCAGCAGUGGGGAAUAUUGGACAAUGGGCGCAAGCCUGAACCAGCCAUACCGCGUGGGUGAAGAAGGCCUUCGGGUUGUAAAGCCCUUUUGUUGGGAAAGAAAAGCAGCAGGUUAAUACCCCGCUGUUCUGACGGUACCCAAAGAAUAAGCACCGGCUAACUUCGUG
rnacentral:rRNA from 1 species